UACGGAGGGUGCAAGCGUUAUCCGGAUUUACUGGGUUUAAAGGGUGCGUAGGUGGGUGAAUAAGUCAGCGGUGAAAUCUCCGGGCUUAACUCGGAAACUGCCAUUGAUACUAUUCGUCUUGAAUAUCCUGGAGGUGAGCGGAAUAUGUCAUGUAGCGGUGAAAUGCUUAGAUAUGACAUAGAACACCAAUUGCGAAGGCAGCUCACUACCCAGAUAUUGACACUGAGGCACGAAAGCGUGGGGAUCAAACAGG
rnacentral:rRNA from 1 species